rnacentral:lncRNA from 1 species
CUUAAAAAGCCGCGCUUGCAGUAAGGCGGCAAAAUUAAAAAAAGAACAAAAACGUACCGGCAACCGAGGCGUCAGCACUGCUCCCCUGACCGAGGCCGAGAGCCGGAUAAUUUCAAUAGUUGGGGCAGAUUAUUCCUUUGGGACAGACUGCCCGGACGCUAUGCCAGAGGAAGAUUUAUUACAACAUGAGAUGGAGGCUGGGGUGGUAAUCUCUGAGGUUCUCACCUUACCUCAUUCUCAGGCUAGAGAUUUUGUGGAAUUGUUACCGACUGAAACAA